UACGUAGGGUGCGAGCGUUAAUCGGAAUUACUGGGCGUAAAGCGUGCGCAGGCGGUGAUGUAAGACCGAUGUGAAAUCCCCGGGCUUAACCUGGGAACUGCAUUGGUGACUGCAUUGCUGGAGUAUGGCAGAGGGGGGUGGAAUUCCACGUGUAGCAGUGAAAUGCGUAGAGAUGUGGAGGAACACCGAUGGCGAAGGUAGCCCCCUGGGCCAAUACUGACGCUCAUGCACGAAAGCGUGGGGAGCAAACAGG
rnacentral:rRNA from 1 species